GGAGAAUUGCUUGAACCCGGGAGGCGGAGGUUGCAGUGAGCUGAGAUUGUGCUGCUGCACUCCAGCCUGGGAGACAGAGCGAGACUCUGUCUUAAAAAAAAAAAAAGGAGGUGAAUUUUUUUUUAAGUUUUGUAACACUGUCCUACUUUAUUUAUUAGAAUCUAAGGCUGUUACAAUCAAGUCGUUGCAGGGUUUGGAUCAGCUGUAAGUUAGGUAUGCCUACCAAACAUCCAAAGGUAGACGUGGAGACAUUUUAAUACUACAAAACUAGGAAAAUCAGAACUCAUGGCCAUUUCCUGCCCUCCUCCAACUUGUUAAAACAUGUUUAUUCUAAAGUUCGAAUGGAUAAAUUUGAGUAUAAAGGUUUUGUUAUAAAACUGUUCUUUAGUGUAAGGCUGCAUUGUGGGUUUGGGGGAAAUGUAAAUAAUUUUCUGUGUAAAACAAAUUCAUAGGAUCUGAUUUGCUCAGAGUAUUAUUCAAGAAUGUAUUAAUAAGGCAUUGCCCCCUGUUUGCACUCAGGGUUAAUAUGUCAAAUGAAAUUUAAGAAGGAAAUGGAAGAAUUCAGGUACAUUAAUUGCAUAUUAUUUUGGGAAAGAUGAGUCCUAUACGUGGCAAUUUUUCAAUGUCAUCUGAAGCCAGCAUUAUCUUCCAAAGAAAUCGAUCUUUUUUUUCUAAAAAAAAAAAAUGCUUUUGCCUUCCCUUCCCUUCCCAUCCGCCAUAUUUCUUCAGCCUUUCUUCUCGAUCACCCGUGUAUUCUUUGACCAGUAAAUGACCACACCUCAAUGAUGGUAAAACAGCAUCAUCAGUAAGCUAUCUUAUAUGCCUCAUCCUGUGAGUUUGAGCUUCAGGAAACAUGAGUAAAAGUAUAUGUAAUGUAUAUAGUCGUAUAUGUAUUCUAGCAAGAAAAACAUAUUUAUUUUGACAAAGGGGAACACUGACUUUCUGAAGGAUUCAGAAAGAACCUUAGUGAAAGGUUCUCAGUCUCUGAGAGUGGACCCUAAUUAACAUAAAGACCAUUCAUCAGCGAAUAACUACUGAGCAACUCUAGUGUGCCAGCACAGGCCAGACAUACUAGUGAGCCAGGCACAUCUGGCCUUGGGAAACUCAUCCUACAGGGGAAGGCCAGUUUUUUUCCCUUCAAUUCCUCAAGUCUGGGUGGUGACAAGGUAGGGGCUAGGUACUGGACUACCACAGGUUUUUAGGAACUAAGGUGUUUCUCAUAAACACAAAAUGUUGGGUGAAACUGGGAACAACUACUCAGAAGCUCAUUUAUUUGCUUAAAUGGAAAGUGUGGGAGCCACUACCCUCUCUUUUGAUCUGCCAAGGAUUUCCUCUCAGAGCUGUUGCACAGACAGAGAUUGUACUUGGUAAGAUACCAAACAAGACAGAUAUGGAUCUAAAUUUCUAAUGUGUUCUAUGGGUUUCAAUUCUGAAAAAAGAAAAUGAAUAAAGAUUUUAAUAAAU
rnacentral:lncRNA from 1 species